GUACUUGCUUCGGCAGCACAUGUACUAAAGUUGGACCAAUACAGAGAUUAGCACAGCCCUCUGCACAGGUGGCACACAAAUUCAUAAAGAAUUCCAAGUUUAU